rnacentral:rRNA from 1 species
UACGGGGGGGGGCAAGCGUUGUUCGGAAUUACUGGGCGUAAAGGGUGCGCAGGCGGCUAUAUAAGUUAGAUGUGAAAUCCCUAAGCUUAACUUAGGAAUGGCAUUUGAUACUGUAUAGCUAGAGUUUAUCAGAGGGAGGUAGAAUUCCAAGUGUAGCAGUGAAAUGCGUAGAUAUUUGGAGGAAUACCGGUGGCGAAGGCGGCCUUCUGGGAUAAAACUGACGCUCAGGCACGAAAGGCGUGGGUAGCAAACAGG